CACUCCUGCGGGAGGCAGCAGUGAGGAAUAUUGGACAAUGGGUGGAAGCCUGAUCCAGCCAUCCCGCGUGCAGGAAGACGGCCCUAUGGGUUGUAAACUGCUUUUAUCUGGGGAUAAACCUACUUACGUGUAAGUAGCUGAAGGUACCAGAAGAAUAAGCACCGGCUAACUCCGUGCCAGCAGCCGCGGUAAUACGGAGGGUGCAAGCGUUAUCCGGAUUUAUUGGGUUUAAAGGGUCCGUAGGCGGACUGAUAAGUCAGUGGUGAAAUCCGACAGCUUAACUGUCGAACUGCCAUUGAUACUGUUAGUCUUGAGUAAGGUUGAAGUGGCUGGAAUAAGUAGUGUAGCGGUGAAAUGCAUAGAUAUUACUUAGAACACCAAUUGCGAAGGCAGGUCACUAAGUCUUAACUGACGCUGAUGGACGAAAGCGUGGGGAGCGAACAGGAUUAGAAACCCCGGUAGUCCCU
rnacentral:rRNA from 1 species